AAUGAUACUUCCCUGAACCUGACUGGAAAAGGGCCCGCGACGUAGGGAUUGCGGGGGAACGCUCGUCACGUUUGAAAAAGAAUGUGGGGAGGUUUC
rnacentral:sRNA from 12 species